rnacentral:rRNA from 1 species
GUGCCAGCCGCCGCGGUAAUACGUAGGGGGCUAGCGUUGUCCGGAUUUAUUGGGCGUAAAGAGCGCGUAGGCGGCCGAGUAAGUCCGACGUGAAAUCUGGAGGCUCAACCUCCAGCGGUCGUUGGAAACUACUCGGCUAGAGUCCGGAAGAGGAGAGUGGAAUUCCUGGUGUAGCGGUGAAAUGCGCAGAUAUCAGGAAGAACACCGAUGGCGAAAGCAGCUCUCUGGGACGGUACUGACGCUGAGGCGCGAAAGCGUGGGGAGCGAACAGGAUUAGAAACCCCCGUAGUCC